rnacentral:rRNA from 1 species
UACAGAGGAGCCAAGCGUUGUCCGGAUUGACUGGGCGUAAAGCGCACGCAGGCGGAUGCGCGCGUGGGGUGUGAAAUCUGGCCGCUUAACGGCCAGGCGCCAUCCCAUACGGCGCGUCUGGAGUGAUGCAGAGGUCGGUGGAAUUGCCGGUGUAGUGGUGAAAUGCGUAGAGAUCGGCAGGAACACCCAGGGGGAAACCAGCCGACUGGGCAUCGACUGACGCUGAGGUGCGAGAGCGUGGGGAGCGAACUGG